UCCCUGGUGGUCCAGUGGCUAAGACUCUGAGUUUUCAAUGCUGGGGAACUGGGUUUGAUUCCUGGUCAGGGAA
rnacentral:tRNA from 1 species